AAACCAUGUCGUGGACACUUCCAUAGAGAUCCUUGAAUUGCUCCCAUGUCUCAAACAAGGAUUCAAGCUCCAUGUGAAAAAAAUGAUAAUAUUUCAUUCUGAAGCUU